AGACAUUACGUACUAAACACAGUAUGGUUCUAAAUCCAUGCGUACACCCAUCUUUUGGGAGUCUUGGAGGCCAGAGAGAUGAAGCAGGGGACACAGUACCUACCUCCAGCUUUCUGUAAGGCUGGCAGGAACAGCACAGAAGCUCACUGAUUUGACUGAAAGAAUUUGACUGUAACUGAAUAUUAUGGCAGCAGUUCUGCUACAGCAUUUGUAGGAGUGCUUUUCUCCUGACAACUACAUUUUCUUAUGUGAUCCUCAGGACCACUAUCUAAGGGCAGAGGUUCCCAAACCAGGGUGAUUUUGCCCUACAGGAGACAUUUGGCAACAUCUAGAGACGUUUGGGGUUGUCAAAACUGGGAAGAGGAGAUACUGGCAUGUAGAGGGUAGGGGUGCUGCUCAACAUCCUGCAAUGCUCAAGGCAGACCCCUCACAAGAAAGAGUUAUUGACCCCCAAAUGUUUGUGCCACGGCUGAAAAACUGCAUUAGAGUAAA